AACGAACGCUGGUGGCGUGCUUAACACAUGCAAGUCGAACGCGAAAGUGGUCUUCGGACCGCGAGUAGAGUGGCGCACGGGUGAGUAACGCGUAGGUAAUCUAUCUUUAUGUUCGGGAUACCUAGCCGAAAGGCUAACUAAUACCGGAUACGCUCAUGAGGACGAGAGUUUUUGUGAGGAAAGGUGCCCUCUCCUUGGAAGGUGCCGCAGAGAGACGAGCCUGCGUACCAUUAGCUAGUUGGUGGGGUAAUGGCCUACCAAGGCUACGAUGGUUAGCGGGUCUGAGAGGAUGAUCCGCCACACUGGAACUGGAACACGGACCAGACUCCUACGGGUGGCAG
rnacentral:rRNA from 1 species